UACGUAGGGGGCAAGCGUUGUCCGGAAUCAUUGGGCGUAAAGAGCGCGUAGGCGGUUUUGCAAGCCGGAUGUGAAAUCCCCGGGCUUUAACCUGGGAAUGGCAUUUGGGACUGCAAGGCUGGAGUGCGGCAGAGGAGACUGGAAUUCCUGGUGUAGCAGUGAAAUGCGUAGAUAGUCGGGAGGAACACCAGUGGCGAAGGCGGCUCACUGGCUCGUAACUGACGCUCAGGCGCGACAGCGUGGGGAUCAAACAGG
rnacentral:rRNA from 1 species